rnacentral:rRNA from 1 species
GACGAACGCUGGCGGCGUGCUUAACACAUGCAAGUCGAACGGUAAGGCCCUUCGGGGUACACGAGUGGCGAACGGGUGAGUAACACGUGGGUGAUCUGCCCUGCACUUCGGGAUAAGCCUGGGAAACUGGGUCUAAUACCGGAUAGGACCCUGGGAUGCAUGUCCUGGGGUGGAAAGCUUUUGCGGUGUGGGAUGGCCCGGCGGCCUAUAAGUUUGUUGGUGGGGUGAUGGCCUACCAAGGCGACGACGGGUAGCCGGCCUGGGAGGGUGACCGGCUACGCUGGGACUGAGAUACGGCCCAGACUGCUACGGGGGGCAGCAGUGGGGAAUAUUGCACAAUGGGGGCAAGCCUGAUGCAGCGACGCCGCGUGAGGGAUGACGGCCUUCGGGUUGCAAACCUCUUUCAGCACCGACGAAGCGCAAGUGACGGUAGGUGCAGAAGAAGGACCGGCCAACUACGUGCCAGCCGCCGCGGUAA